GCUUUGUCCUCCUUAUUCAGUAUUAGGAAGACCGUUUCAAUUGACGUCCUUUCGUAAACUAUUUAAGUUCACGCUUAAAAAAUGCAGUGGGGCAGCUGUAUAAAGGGAUUUGGCGGUGACCAAUUGCGGGGAACGAAACAACAAGCCUGCCAGUUGCUUUUGCCUUGUGCUGCCACCUUGUGGCGCUCAGUUUGUUAUUCUUCCCGCGCGACUUCUCCCAGCCGCUGGCAACAUCGAGUUGGAAACAACGAGGAAGCGAGAUUUUUUUAAAAACUUGAGAUAGUUCAUAUUGUUGUGUAUUUUAAUAGGUCGACCUUUUAUAAAUGAAGGUUAAUACCUCAGGGGUACAUCGAGAAUGUAUGGUUGAGUGUGGGUCGGAGUAUACUCAGGAGGAAUCAAAUGCCCAGGCUUGGCAGGAAGAAGGUGGUGCGGUCAAUGCUUUCAUUUUAUGUCUGAAGGAGAAUUGAGAAGGUAUCUGUCUUAAAGAGGAUGUCC